rnacentral:rRNA from 1 species
UCAUUAUUGAAUAAACCUGAUGUGGCUGUUAGCUGGCUUAGGCAUGUGCUCGUCCAUCAUCUUUAUAUAUCUCCACCUGUGCACCUUUUGUAGGCUUGGAUAGGAUUUUCCUGUCAUUUACAAGACUAUGUUUAUAUAUACACACACAAGUUUAAAGAAUGUCAUCAAUAGGAACUUGUUUCCUAUAGAAACUAUACAACUUUCAGCAACGGAUCUCUUGGCUCUCGCAUCGAUGAAGAACGCAGCGAAAUGCGUUAAGUAAUGUGAAUUGCAGAAUUCAGUGAAUCAUCGAAUCUUUGAACGCACCUUGCGCUCCUUGGUAUUCCGAGGAGCAUGCCUGUUUGAGUGUCAUUAAAUUCUCAACCUUCCAUUAAUUUGGUUUGGCUUGGAUGUGGGGGUUGCAGGCUUCACUAUGAGGUCGGCUCUCCUUAAAUGCAUUAGUGGAACUUUUGUGGACCAUCUAUUGGUGUGAUAUCUAUCUACGCCGUGGAUGUGAAGCAGUGUUCAGCUUCUAACCGUCUAUUGACUUACUUGACCAUUUGACCUC